rnacentral:rRNA from 1 species
AUUGAACGCUCGCGGGAUGCUUUACACAUGCAAGUCGAACGGCAGCGCGGACUUCGGUCUGGCGGCGAGUGGCGAACGGGUGAGUAAUGUAUCGGAACGUGCCCAGUAGCGGGGGAUAACUACGCGAAAGCGUAGCUAAUACCGCAUACGCCCUACGGGGGAAAGCAGGGGAUCGUAAGACCUUGCACUAUUGGAGCGGCCGAUAUCGGAUUAGCUAGUUGGUGAGGUAACGGCUCACCAAGGCGACGAUCCGUAGCUGGUUUGAGAGGACGACCAGCCACACUGGGACUGAGACACGGCCCAGACUCCUACGGGAGGCAGCAGUGGGGAAUUUUGGACAAUGGGGGCAACCCUGAUCCAGCCAUCCCGCGUGUGCGAUGAAGGCCUUCGGGUUGUAAAGCACUUUUGGCAGGAAAGAAACGUCGCGGGCUAAUACCCCGUGGAACUGACGGUACCAGCAGAAUAAGCACCGGCUAACUACGUG